rnacentral:tRNA from 1 species
GCGGGAAUAGCUCAGUUGGUAGAGCAUCAGCUUCCCAAGCUGAGGGUCGCCGGUUCGAUUCCGGUUUCCCGCUCCA